GUGAUUUCGUAUAAGACUCGGGGUGACUAGAUCUUCUAGUUUAGAGGGUCAGUUUCAAGGGUUUGUAAGGGUAACUAUAAAAAGGGUUAUGGGUGGGCUGAAAAAAUGAUAUUUGGUUAUUAAGUGUGGCAUGAUGGUGGACGGUGAUGGUAAUAAGAAAUCGAUGAUCAAGAAUUGACCAGAAGAUGAAUAAUUCACUUUCAACACUUUUUUUUAAAAAAAAUUCAAUUUUUUUUUCAAAUUUCUUUUUUUUCGAAUUUUUUUUAAAAUUUUUUUAAUAUAUUUCAAUACAAUUAUGCUGAUUUACAAGUAAAAAUAAAUACACUUUUUUUUACGAUUUUUUUAUGAACUUACUCGGGAUGGCUCUGAACAUCCAUACUUCUUGUUCUACGUAGCUCUGAUACCAGAUGAUACGAUUCUGGCUCUAUAAGUUAGUCCGAA
rnacentral:lncRNA from 1 species